AGUUUUAUAUUCAAAUAUGAUUUAAAAUUGCAAAUUUUAAGGUAUAAUAAAAUUAUUAAAACUU
rnacentral:tRNA from 2 species